rnacentral:rRNA from 1 species
GUAGUCAUAUGCUUGUCUCAAAGAUUAAGCCAUGCAUGUCUAAGUAUAAGCAAUUAUACAGCGAAACUGCGAAUGGCUCAUUAAAUCAGUUAUCGUUUAUUUGAUAGUACCUUACUACUUGGAUAACCGUGGUAAUUCUAGAGCUAAUACAUGCUAAAAAUCCCGACUUCGGAAGGGAUGUAUUUAUUAGAUUAAAAACCAAUGCCCUCCGGGGCUCACUGGUGAUUCAUGAUAACUUCUCGAAUCGCAUGGCCUUGCGCCGGCGAUGGUUCAUUCAAAUUUCUGCCCUAUCAACUUUCGACGGCUGGGUCUUGGCCAGCCAUGGUGACAACGGGUAACGGAGGGUUAGGGCUCGACCCCGGAGAAGGAGCCUGAGAAACGGCUACUACAUCCAAGGAAGGCAGCAGGCGCGCAAAUUACCCAAUCCCGACUCGGGGAGGUAGUGACAAUAAAUACUGAUACAGGGCUCUUUUGGGUCUUGUAAUUGGAAUGAGUACAAUUUAAAUCCCUUAACGAGGAACAAUUGGAGGGCAAGUCUGGUGCCAGCAGCCGCGGUAAUUCCAGCUCCAAUAGCGUAUAUUAAAGUUGUUGCAGUUAAAAAGCUCGUAGUUGAACCUUGGGUCUGGCUGGCCGGUCCGCCUCACCGCGUGCACUGGUCCGGCCGGACCUUUCCCUCUGGGGAACCGCAUGCCCUUUACUGGGUGUGUCGGGGAACCAGGACUUUUACUUUGAAAAAAUUAGAGUGUUCAAAGCAGGCCUUUGCUCGGAUACAUUAGCAUGGAAUAAUAGAAUAGGACGUGUGGUUCUAUUUUGUUGGUUUCUAGGACCGCCGUAAUGAUUAAUAGGGACAGUCGGGGGCAUCAGUAUUCAAUUGUCAGAGGUGAAAUUCUUGGAUUUAUUGAAGACUAACUACUGCGAAAGCAUUUGCCAAGGAUGUUUUCAUUAAUCAGGAACGAAAGUUAGGGGAUCGAAGACGAUCAGAUACCGUCGUAGUCUUAACCAUAAACUAUGCCGACUAGGGAUCGGACGAUGUUAUUCUUUGACUCGUUCGGCACCUUACACGAAAGUACAAGUUUCUGGGUUCUGGGGGGAGUAUGGUCGCAAGGCUGAAACUUAAAGGAAUUGACGGAAG